AGUAUCCAUACAUGAUGUAGCUUGUCUCGCGGAUCGGAAUCCUGAAUUUUUGGCACCGAAAAUAGCUGGGCGGGCGGCGGAUUGGCCUGUAGGGCGGGCGACGCUUAGUGCGUGCCGCUCCGCCGUGUUAACCGCCCGUAGGUCUGUAACUGGCGUACUUUAUUCCCCGAACCGUAAAAAAAUAAAACAGCCAUCAUGGACGCGAUCAAGAAGAAGAUGCAGGCGAUGAAGCUGGAGAAGGACAAUGCCAUGGACAAGGCAGACACCUGCGAACAGCAGGCUAGGGACGCUAACCUCCGCGCCGAAAAGGUCAACGAGGAAGUCCGUGAACUUCAAAAGAAGCUCACCCAAGUAGAAGAGGACUUGUCCCUCAACAAGAACAAAUUAGAGCAGGCUAACAAGGACCUCGAAGAGAAGGAAAAGCAGCUUACCGCGACCGAGGCGGAGGUGGCAUCCCUCAACAGGAAGGUACAGCAGAUUGAGGAGGACCUCGAGAAGUCUGAGGAGAGGUCUGGCACCGCCCAACAGAAACUGUUAGAAGCACAGCAGUCCGCUGAUGAGAACAACCGUAUGUGCAAAGUAUUGGAGAACAGAUCACAGCAGGACGAAGAGCGUAUGGACCAACUUACCAACCAGCUGAAGGAGGCCCGUCUCUUGGCUGAAGACGCUGACGGCAAAUCUGAUGAGGUUUCCCGUAAACUGGCCUUCGUUGAAGACGAGUUGGAAGUAGCUGAGGACCGUGUCAAGUCUGGUGACGCCAAAAUCUCAGAACUUGAAGAAGAAUUAAAGGUCGUAGGUAACUCCCUUAAAUCACUAGAGGUCUCAGAAGAGAAGGCCAACCAGCGUGUAGAGGAAUUCAAAAAACAAUUGAAGACCCUCACUAUCAAGCUCAAGGAGGCUGAGGCUCGCGCUGAAUACGCCGAAAAGACUGUCAAGAAACUGCAGAAGGAGGUCGACAGGCUCGAAGACUCUUUGUUCAACGAAAAGGAGAAAUACAAGGCGAUAUGCGAUGACCUGGACGGAACAUUCGCAGAGCUGACAGGAUACUAACUUCCCUUAGCAUUUAGUUUAAGACAGUACCGUCCACAUAGAACCACUGUCACCAUUAGUAUAGACCCAUAUCAAAAUUUCUACCUGAAUGUUCGAUUUUUAGUACCCGGGAAGUCGUCGUAAAUUAUCUUAUAAAUAACGUUUCCACUUUAUUGAAUCUUCAUUCUAACGCUUAGACUAUGUUCCUUAAUCCUAACCCUUUCAAAUUUUAUAGGAUUGUCAUACACUUAUUUUCGUUACAAUGACAUUCCUAUGAGAUGUUUCAUUUGUAAACCUGCUUUUUGUGUUGUAACUAAUGUCUUAUGCUUUGCUGCUACCGAGGUGGAUCAAUGCUUCUAAGACGAGCUCGGCAUCAACAAGGACAGAUACAAGAGCCUGGCUGAUGAGAUGGACUCCACUUUCGCCGAGUUGGCUGGAUACUAAACAAAACAGCGCACCAACACUACACGUGAUCUAAUUUAUUAAUUUAUGUAAAUUUAUUUACGAUUUUCAAUAAAAUUAUUUGUAACAUCUA